GAUGAACGCUGACAGAAUGCUUAACACAUGCAAGUCAACUUGAACUUCGGUUUGGGUGGCGGACGGGUGAGUAACGCGUACAGAACUUGCCUCACAGAUAGGGACAACGUUUGGAAACGAAUGCUAAUACCUGAUAUUAUGAUUUUAGGGCAUCCUAGGAUUAUGAAAGCUAUAUGCGCUGUGAGAGAGCUUUGCGUCCCAUUAGCUAGUUGGAGAGGUAACGGCUCACCAAGGCGAUGAUGGGUAGCCGGCCUGAGAGGGUGAUCGGCCACAAGGGGACUGAGACACGGCCCUUACUCCUACGGGAGGCAGCAGUGGGGAAUAUUGGACAAUGGACCAAGAGUCUGAUCCAGCAAUUCUGUGUGCACGAUGAAGUUUUUCGGAAUGUAAAGUGCUUUCAGUUGGGAAGAAAAAAAUGACGGUACCAACAGAAGAAGUGACGGCUAAAUACGUG
rnacentral:rRNA from 1 species